rnacentral:rRNA from 1 species
GACUACAUGAAGCUGGAAUCGCUAGUAAUCGCAGGUCAGCAUACUGCGGUGAAUACGUUCCCGGGUCUUGUACACACCGCCCGUCACACCAUGGGAGCCGGAAAUGCCCGAAGCCAGUGACCCAACCUUAAGGAGGGAGCUGUCGAAGGUGGAGCCGGUAACUGGGGUGAAGUCGUAACAAGGUAAC